rnacentral:lncRNA from 1 species
UGGUUUGAAAUUUCGAGAGACGCAUUGCUCCUCCUCCUAUCUAUCUAUUUCUCUCUUUCACUCGCGUGAUUUUCUCCUCCCCUCCAUUUUCCCCCAGUGGUUUGCGGCACGAUUCGGGCGUGGGUUCGCCAGAGAUCUGGACCGCCGGAGGUAAUCCCCAUCCUCUACACGCUCUUUUUGCGUUUGCUCGCGUCUGUUUCUGGGGUGCGUGUUCGAUUGGGCUAGGAUUAGGUGGUGCUCGUCGCCGGAGUGGGGCGGAGGACGCGUAUAUGAAGCGAAGGACAGCGAUGUCUAUGGUGACUCCGCACUCGUUCAUUUUUGGGUCGAAUACCUAGUUCGUCUAGGGGUGUAGCGGGCGUCCCAGUCGAAUAAGGUGCGGUCAGGUGGUUUUACCAAUGGUGGAAGGGCAUGAACUAGAUGAGAGAGGAGGGAGCGGGGUGGUACAAUUCGUGUUGGGAUUUUUGGUUUUUUGGUAAGAUUAUUUGUUCAACGAUAAAAUUUUGCUUGUAAUAGGCGCAUGAGUUUUUUGCGAGAAAAACUUCCAAUCUAUUCAUCUUCACUCAUGGUAGUACAACGAACACUAGAAAUAAUAAAAAUUACAUCCAGAUCCGUAAACCACCUAGCGACGACUACAACACUGAAGCGAGCCGAAGGCACGCCGCUGUCAUCGCCCCUCCCUCACCGGAGCCGGGCAAACCUGUUGUAGUAGACAGUCGAGAAGUCGUCGUGCUAAGGCCCCAUAGAACAAAUGCACCAGAAAUAGCACCCGCCGCCGAUGAAGAGGGUAGAUCAGAAGGAUCCAACUUAAAGACACAGGAACAUAGACAAACGAUGGACAAAUCCGAGCAAAUCUACCAAAGAUAGAUCCGCUGGAGACACACCUCCACACGCCCACCGACGAUGCUAGACGCAUCACCGGAACGGGGCUAGGCGGGGAGACCUUUAUUCCAUCUUCAGGGAGUCGCCGCCGUCUCGCCUUCCUAAGUAGGACACAAACUCUAUCAAAACUCGAAAAAAAAUCUAAAAAUGAAGCCCUCCCAGUGGAAAGGGCCAAGAUCCACUCCGCCUCCAUGGCCCUAAGGCCACCGGAGAUGGGGCGGACCAGCGACGGCACCGGCGGGAGGCAAGAGGAACCCUAGGUUUUUGGAAGCCGGCGGCUGGCUAGGAAGAAAAGAUUCCGGAGGCGUUGAUGCCGAGCACUAGGCGACGUCAUGAUUCUUCUUCUUGAGUUGCUAUCAUUUUCAUAAGUAGUCGCUUGUGUUGGUACUUUGGGUGAGGUUUUUGUUUUCACAUGGGCAGUUGCUUAGAAUAUCUCAAUGGUUGCUCUUUUUUGUCCAAUAUUUGCUCGUGUUUGGGAUUUUAAGGAUUUUGGGUGACGUUUUUUCACAAAGGCGGUAGCUUGGAAAUAGGGCAGCAGUUGCUCAUUUUUUUUCGUUGUGCUUUGUUCUGAUGUAGGCCGUGCACCUUAAGGUGCUCCAUCUUUUCACGGGCCGGGGAAUAUGAAUUUGAUUUUCUGAACAUUAUUCACGACCAACAUAUUAUUUUUGGAUGCAACAUUUUGUAGUUUUAGUUGCUUCUGCUAGGAGAGUAGAUGAGCUCUGGAUAAUUUUUGGAGGUGCCCCUGGUGUAAGUUAUAGGAGUUUAGGAGGUUAGAAGUUCAGCAAAUAUUUUGUAUACCAGAGCAUGCUUUUUUCUAUAUCAGUAGCGAGCUUGAUGGUAAUAUGGUUUGAACAUAUAUAUGAAAUUAAGGUUAUUCGGGUUUUUUCAGCGAUGUUUUUGCUUGCAAUACGAGCAGGAAUUGGUCUCAAAUCGUCAAUAGUUGCUCGAAUGUUUUGGGCAUUUGGGUUGCAAUACGAGCAGGAACUGGUCUCAAAUCGUCAAUACUUGCUCGAAUUUUUUUGGCUUUUGGGUGUUUUGGGGUGAGUUUUUCUGACAAACGCGGUUGCUAACAGUAGUUGCUCUCAUGAUGACCGUAAUUGCUUGUGUGUUGUUGGACUUUUUUGGGUCAGGGUUAUUCAAUAAAGACAGUUGCUUAAAGAAGGAGCAGGAGUUGCUCUCAUUUUCUCUGUCAAUGGUUGCUCUUUUUUAGUAGGUACUAAAAUUUCUCUCAAUUUUUGAUUCUACAUAAUGACACUCGAAAGUAAAAGGAUCUCGUAUAGCAGGAGGCACUCUUUUGACAUUUACUUUUUCUUUCUUUUGGGGUCAUAUAUUAAGCACAUGUUUUGUUCAUUUUUUUACAUUUUUUUCAAAUAAUUAGGUGGCUCCAAUGACCAACGUGGGUGCACGAAAUGGAAUUCAAACCGCGGUACGCGCAUGAAAAUGGGAUGCAGAUGGCGUCGAUGAAGUUGAAGAAGGAAGACAUGUGAAACGGGUGAAGAAAGGCCAACAUGAGGUAAUUCUAAAAGUAGAAACAGUAGAGGCAGGGGGUUAGGUAGUUGCAUCUCAAUAUAGAUGGAUUUGCUCAAUCCAGGUCAGUAGUUGCUGAAUAAACAGGGGAAAUAUGGAUGUCAUUGCAGGCACAUCCAAGAUGAAUAUGGUUUUUGAAAUCAUAGAUGGUUUUCCUUUCUAGGUGGUUGUCGACGGAGUUGUCAUCCUUAAACGAACUCCUGGAUUGCAUCGCCGCCUUGGGGGUCGCUACAGACUACGAUCGGAUUGGGCUUAAUCCCGAUCAGAGAGAAAUCAAAUCUCCGCCGAUCACCCAUCAGAUAGCGGUAGUAGAGGAGCAAUACAACAACUCUUCCUCUAUAUUGAGGAUGAACUAUGUUCGGAUUUCCAAGCUCGACGAGCUGGAUACCUAUCCACGGAAGGACGUGCCCCGCCCUCCCAACCUAGAGUCGGACGGCGGACCUAAAAAAUUGGUUGAUAUUCCGGAGCCUGAACUGUUAAGCUCGAAAGUUUCUCAAACUCCGGAUCCCAAAUUGGGUCAGGGUUCAGAUUCAAAACCACCCGCCCACCCAGAUAUACGCGAUCUCAUGCAAAUAUGACAGCAGUCUGAGGAAAUAGUCCAUCACUUUUGGGCCAGAUUCCUCCUUGUUAAAAACAAGAUUAAAGGUUGCCGCGAUGAAGACUUUUCAAAUAAUUAGGUGGCUCCAAUGACCAAUGUGGGUGCAUGAAAUGGAAUUCAAACCGCGGUACGCGCAUGAAAAUGGGAUGCAGAUGACGUCGAUGAAGUUGAAGAAUGAAGACAUGUGAAACGGGUGAAGAAAUGCCAACAUGAGGUAAUUCUAAAAGUAGAAACAGUAGAGGCAGGGGGUUAGGUAGUUGCAUCUCAAUAUAGGUGGAUUUUCUCAAUCCAGGUCAGUAGUUACUGAAUAAACAGGGGAAAUAUGGAUGUCAUUGCAGGCACAUCCAAGAUGAAUAUGGUUUUUGAAAUCAUAGAUGGUUUUCCUUUCUAGGUGGCUGUCGACGGAGUUGUCGUCCUUAAACGAACUCCUGGAUUGCAUCGCCGCCUUGGGGGUCGCUACAGACUAUGAUCGGAUUGGGCUUAAUCCCGAUCAGAGAGAAAUCAAAUAUCUGCCGAUCACCCAUCAGAUGGCGGUAGUAGAGGAGCAAUACAACAACUCUUCCUCUAUAUUGAGGAUGAACUAUGUUCGGAUUUUCGAGCUCGACGAGCCGGAUACCUGUCCACGGAAGGACGUGCCCCGCCAUCCCAACCUAGAGUCAGACGGCGGACCUAAAAAAUUGGUUGAUAUUCCGGAGCCUGAACUGUUAAGCUCGGAAGUUUCUCAAACUCCGGAUCCCAAAUUGGGUCAGGGUUCAGAUUCGAAACCACCCGCCCACCCAGAUAUAUGCGAUCUCAUGCAAAUAUGACAGCAGUCUGAGGAAACAGUCCAUCACUUUUGGGCCAGAUUCUUCCUUGUUAAAAACAAGAUUAAAGGUUGCCGCGACGAAGACGCGAUCUCUGUAUUCUGCAAUAAUUGCACGGUUGAGGGAAUCCUCAAUGCCAUCAACCGCAAUCGCGUAUUACACUUCGCUGACUUGGCAACCAUAGUACAGAAGUAUUGCGCAAUGGAAAGCGCCUGGAAUACUCAGGCAACUCCCUGGGAGCCACUAGUUUCCACUCAACUCCUCAUCUGGGCAAAAAGGAUGCACCCUCGUGGGUCGCCCGAUCCAAUAGUAAAGAAAUUGAAGCCCAUUGUGGGGCGCGGAACCAUUCUGGAGGGAUGGCUCGAUAGGCCAUGCAAAAUACAACAACACCGGAUGCCAUACCAACCCAUAGCCUUAGAGCAUGUUGGAUACUCCGGCAAGUGGCCAAGAGUAGCGAGGAUCUCCUCAACAAAAAUACAGGAGAGCAACACCCCCGAGAAGACGACGACUUCAGAGUAUUGACGGUCUUCGAGACUUCCGCCUCAAACAACAGGCGCAAAAGGGCACUCCGCAGCCUCGCCGAAGUCUGCCAAGUCGCAGCAAUAAACCCCUGGGACGACACGGCCAUAACUUUCAAUGCCUGUGACGAACCAAAACUCAGGACAGUCCUGGCACCAGCCACAUUGGUCCUCAGUCCAAUCGUGGACGGCUUUCGACUUACCAAAGUGCUCAUGGACGGCGGCAGCGGACUAAACCUCAUUUACAAGGAAACUCUCAACCAAAUGGAAAUAGAUAGGAGCCGCAUUGAGCAAAGUAGCACGACCUUCCGGGGAAUCAUUCCCAGUCGGGAGGCGCGAUGCGCGGGAAAAUCACACUCAAUGUGGUAUUCGGCACGCCAAAAUUAUCGGUCCGAAGAGAUAACCUUCCAAGUGGCCCCGAUUAACAGUGGAUAUCACACCUUAUUAGGGCGAGAUGCAUUUGCACGCUUCCAAGCUAUCCUUCAUUAUGGGUACAUGAAGCUCAAAAUGCCCGGGCCCAAUGGAAUUAUCACUCUCGCCAGUGAUCCGGACACAGCACUCCGCGCCGAAAACAAAACCGCAGCCCUGGCCCCCAAGGCAUUGUCUGAAGCCCUCGCAGCCGAAGAGUUAACCGCACUACGCUCCACUGUGGAUAGGGACGACGUGAUCCUAGACAAGUGACCCAAAUCCACCUCCUUUAAGAGAGCAGAUGAAAUAGUUAAAUUUCAAGUCCACCCGACGGACCCCAACAAGACAACAUCCAUCGGGGCUCAACUGGACCCAACGGUUGAUGCCGCACUGCGAGCGUUCCUAUGCGAAAACUGGGACAUAUUCGCCUGCCACCCUUCUGAUAUGCGAGGGAUCCCACGCAGGCUGGCUGAACACAAACCUAAACAUACUGAAGGGAUAUUAACCGGUAAAGUAAACACUGUGGCGCUUUUCCGAACCCAAAUGACAAGCUAUGGGGAGGAGCUAGCCAAGUUACUCGAGGCCAGAUUCAUCAGAGAAAUAAAACACCCGGACUGGCUAGCAAACCUAGUGAUGGUACCAAAGAAGGAUAAAUCCUGGCACCUAUGUGUCGAUUUCAAAGACCUCAACAAGGCCUGCCCUAAGGAUCCCUUCCCCCUCCCCCGCAUCGAUCAGAUUAUCGAUGCCACUACAGGACACGACUCACUUUGUUUCCUCAACGCAUACUCCGGAUACCAUCAAAUCAAGAUGAAGGAGUAAUAUCAAGCUGCAACAUCAUUUAUUACCCCAUACGGGCCUUUUUGCUUCAACACUAUGCCCUUCGGACUUAAAAACACCGACGCCACCUACCAACGCAUGAUUCAAACAUGUCUGGAGAAACAAAUCGACAAGAUAGUUGAAGCAUAUGUAGAUGACGUUGUCAUCAAAACUAGGCACGUCGAGUCAUUAAUAGACGAUCUGCGUCUUACAUUCAACAAUCUCCAUGCAUAUGACAUCAAGCUCAAUCCGAAAAAAUGUGUUUACGGCGUUCCCGCAGGAAAACUAUCGAGCUUCAUUGUUUCCAAUAGAGGAACUGAGGCGAACCCAGCUAAAAUCUGAGCUUUGUCACAGUUGGCUACGCCAACAUACCUUAAACAAGUCCAAAAACUAGCCGGAUGUGUGGCAGCUUUAAGCCGCUUUAUCUCUAGAUUAGGAGAAAAAUCAUUGCCACUUUAUCGCCUUCUCCGACGCACCGAUCACUUCGAGUGGACGGACACGGCAACGGCCGGACUAGAAGAAAUAAAGGCUCUUUUAUCGAGCAACCCAAUCCUGGCCGCACCAAACAUCGACGAACCCAUGUUAUUAUACAUAUCGGCAACAAACCAAGUUGUGAGUGCGGUGCUCGUCGUUGAACGAAAGGAGGACGGACACAAAUUCCCGCUUCAGAAGCCGGUAUACUAUGUAUCCACUGUCCUCACACUGUGCAAAUCCAGGUACCCUCAUUACCAAAAAAUAGCAUACGCGGUCUUCAUGGCAUCCCGGAAGCUACGACACUACUUUCAAGAGUUCUCAAUCACGAUGGCCUUCGCAGUACCACUCAAUGACAUAUUAAACAACCGUGAUGCCACGGGCCGGAUUGCCAAGUGGGCCAUUGAGCUCCUCCCAUUCGACAUAACAUACAGACCGCGUCAGGCCAUUAAAUGCCAAGUACUGGCCGACUUCGUCGCCGAAUGGACAGAAGCCGAACUCCCUUAAGAGUACGACACAUAUUCCAACUGGGUCAUGCACUUCGACGGCUCCAAAAUGCUGGCCGGCUUAGGAGAUGGCGUUGUCCUUACAUCCCCAACUGGAGAUACGGUUCAGUACGUACUCCAAAUAUUAUACAUGGACUCCAACAAUGCACCCGAAUACGAGGCCUUAUUGCACGGUCUUCGGAUGGCUGUCUCCAUGGGCAUACAAUGCCUAGAAGUGUGUGGGGAUUCAAACCUCGAAUAUCUCAAAUAAAUGGAGAUUUCGAUGCCAAAGAUCCGAAGAUGGCGGCUUACCGUAACGCUGUUCUCAAAAUGUCGGCUCGGUUCGAGGGGCUCGAGUUUCAUCAUGUGGCUCGAGAAAGUAAUCAAGCGGCAGAUGUCCUUGCUCGCAUCAGCGCCAAACGCGACCCCAUCCCACCUAACAUCUUUCUGGAAAGGCUCUUCAAGCCAUCCGUGGUGUGGCAAGGGGAGAGCGGCAACACCAGUCCAGAUCCAACCAUAAUCCUAGAUUUCGAACACACCGAUAUCAUUGGGGGCUUGAUGACCCACAAGUAUAGGGGAUCUAUCGUAGUCCUUUCGAUAAGUAAGAGUGUCGAACCCAACGAGGAGCAGAAGUAAAUGACAAGCGGUUUUCAGUAAGGUUUUCUCUGCAAGCACUGAAAUUGUAGGUAACAGAUAGUUUUGUGAUAAGAUAAAUUGUAACGGGUAACAAGCAAUGAAAGUAAAUAAAGUGCAGCAAGGUGGCCCAAUCCUUUUUGUAGCAAAGGACAAGCCUGGAUAAUUUCUUAUAAUGAGAAAAGAGCUCCCGAGGACACAUGGGAAUUAUCGUCAAGCUAGUUUUUAUCAUGCUCAUAUGAUUCGCGUUCGGUACUUUGAUAAUUUGAUAUGUGGGUGGACCGGUGCUUGGGUACUGCCCUUACUUGGACAAGAAUCCUACUUAUGAUUAACCCCUGUUGCAAGCAUCCGCAGCUACAAAAGAAGUAUUAAGGUAAACCUAACCACAACAUUAAAUGUAUGGAUCCAAAUCAGCCCCUUACGAAGCAACGCAUAAACUAGGGUUUAAGCUUCUCUCACUCUAGCAACCCAUCAUCUACUUAUUACUUCCCAAUGCCUUCCUCUAGGCCCAAAUAAUGGUGAAGUGUCAUGUAGUCGACAUUCACAUAACACCACUAGAGGAGAGACAACAUACAUCUCAUCAAAAUAUCGAACGAAUACCAAAUUCGCAUGACUACUAAUAGCAAGACUUCUCCCAUGACCUCAGGAACAAACGUAACUACUCACAAAGCAUAUUCAUGUUCGUAAUAUGCAUUAAGGAUCUGAACAUAUGAUCUUCCACCAAGUAAACCAUUUAGCAUCAACUACAAGGAGUAAUCAACACUACUAGCAACCCACAGGUACCAAUUUGUGGUUUUGAUACAAGAUUGGAUACAAGAGAUGAACUAGGGUUUUGAGAGGAGAUGGUGCUGGUGAAGAUGUUGAUGGAGAUUGACCCCCUCCCGAUGAGAGGAUCGUUGGUGAUAAUGAUGGUGAUGAUUUCCCCCUCCCGGAGGGAAGUUUCCCCGGCAGGACAGCUCUGCCGGAGCCCUAGAUUGGUUCCGCCAAGGUUCCGCCUCGUGGCGGCGGAGUUUCGUCUCGUAAGCUUGCCUCUGAUUUUUUCCAGGGUAAAAGCCUUCAUAUAGCCGAAGAGGGCCACCAGGGGGCCCAGGAGACAGGGGCGCGCCCAGUAGGGGUGGGCGCGCCCCCACCCUCCUGGCCAAGGUGUGGGCCCCCUCUGGUGUUUCUUUCACUCAGUAAUUCUUAUUAAUUCCAAAACUGACUUCCGUGGAGUUUCAGGAUUUUUGGAGCCGUGCAUAAUAGGUUUCCAAUAUUUGCUCCUUUUCCAGCCAGAAUUCCAGCUGCCGCCAUUCCCCCUCUUCAUGGUAAACCUUGUAAAAUAAGAGAGAAUAGCCAUAAGUAUUGAGAUAUAAUGUGUAAUAACAUCCCAUAAUGCAAUAAAUAUUGAUAUAAAAGCAUGAUGCAAAAUGGACGUAUCAACUCCCCCAAGCUUAGACCUCGCUUGUCCUCAAGCGGAAGCCGAAAUCAAAAAUUAUGUCCACAUGUUUAGAGAUAGAGGUGUCGAUAAAAAUAAAAUACGGACAUGAGGGCAUCAUGAUCAUUCUUAUAACAACAAAAUAUAUAGAUUUUAUCAUAUGAUUUCUUAUGUUCAAGUAACAAUCAAUUCACAAUGUCAAGUAUGGUUCAGAAACUUCAUUGGGAACUAACAAACUAUAAUCUCAGUCAUUGAAGCAACUGCAAUUUAUCAUAACAUCAGAAAGAGUCAAGAAUAGAGCUUUUCAGCAAGCCCACAUACUCAACUAUCAUGUAGUCUUCUACAAUUGCUAACACUCACGCAGUACUUGUGGUUAUGGAGUUUCAACCGAACACUAAGAAAGAUAGGGGCUUAUUAUGUUGCCUCCCAACGUAUUCACCUUUAGGUGAUGUCAACAAUAAUAGUUCAUGCUAACUUACAUCCAAUUGGAUAUAUAUAUCAAGAUCUUUCAAACACGAGGAGCUUGCCAAAGGAUAAAAUGAAAAAGGGAAAGGUGGAGAUCACCUUGACUCAAGCAUAAAGUAAAAACAUAAAGUAAAAGAUAGGCCCUUCGCAGAGGGAAGCAGAGGUUGCCAUGUGCUUUUAGGGUUGGAUGCACAAAAUCUUAAUGCAAAAGAAUGUCACUUUAUAUUGCCACUUGUAUAUGGACCUUUAUUAUGCAGUCCGUCGCUUUUAUUGCUUCCAUAACAAGAUCGUAUAAAGCUUAUUUUGUCAGCACUAAUAAGUCAUACAUAUUUAAAGAGCAAUUUUUAUUGCCUGCAACAUGACAACUUACUUGAAGGAUCUUACUCAAUCCACAUGUAGGUAUGGUGGACUCUCAUGGCAAAAACUGGGUUUAAGGAUAUUUGGAAGCACAACUAGUAUCUCUACUUGGUGCAAGGAAUUUGGCUAGCAUGAGGGGGAAAGGCAAGCUCAACAUGUUGGGAAGAUCAAUGACAAUAUACUUUAACUGAGAUGUGAG